GGCGGCUACUGACCUGAGGCUAUGGGUUAUGCUGGUUCUUCAUUGCCCCUCCCUCACAGGAGGCCUGGGAAGGAAAGGUUUCACUUUCGAAGGAUGAGAUGGCUGAACAGAAAGGCCCUGUUGGUCACUUGCAAUCAGACUGGGCCUAGUGGUUGCCACAGUGACUGACUGGAGGGGGUAUCAGGGGUGUGGGGACCUCUGGGAAGAAGACUGGGAACCUGAAGGCCCAAGAGUGAUCAGUGAGGAACCAACCAUGACUUGGUUUCAGAGUCCACUGGUUUGGAGCAGAAAGGAAAAUUAUGGCACCAGCUGGGAGCUACAAAUGCCCUUGGGGGUCCCAGUUGCUGCUGGAGUCCUGGCCCUCCUGGCCCUCCUGGCAUUGGCUUAUUAUUGUCUCAAAGAGGCCUGGAAGUCCAGAUGGAGGCUUUGCCAUGUGGGCUGGAGGUGUCUUCAAACUGGAAAGAGCCUACAGCUUGUCUUCAUCCACAGCCCGGAUCAGGGCCAGCUGGGGACCCUCUCUUCAGAGCCCCACGGCCCUCUGCUGCCUUCCCCACUGUCUCUUUGAAGGGUCUAAUGGCACCAGGACAGCACCUCAGCUUUGGGUCUGAAGAUCCCCAUGUUUCAGAGGAGGUUAUGGUAUCUGCCAAGCACCCUGUCUGUAACAACUGUCAGUGUGGAUGAAGGAUUGAAUCCAUGGGAGGAGGGUAAUAUGGGGUGAGGGGAGGUCCUUGUCCCAUGGGUGUCAGACGUGAGAGAGGAGACACUAGCAGAAGUGUCUGUCUUCUCCGGUUUAUGGCAUCAAAGGUUUCUCUCCCCAAAGUCACCCUCAAAGAGCCAAGGUUCUGGUUACUCCAUCUUAGCAAUAGCUGACUCCCCUGGGGGUGAUACCAUGACCCAAAGUGGGGGCCAUGGGCCAGAAGCAAAAGCCCAAGGGCCUCCAGAGUGCCCAAGAAUGUCUCAGCAGGCAGAGGGAAGCUACAUCUGACCUCCACUCCCAAAAUCUCUGUCAUUGCUCAAGCGGUUCUCUUUAGUCUAAUGUCCAGGCUAGCUCCUUCCUGAGACCACAGCAAGGGCCACUGCAACCUCACCCUUUGUAGCUCAAGCUCUCAGACCAAGCACCAGAGAAGUCAGGGCCUACUGAAGCAUAUCAGGUACUAAGUGAGUACUAAGCCCAUGGAACUUUCUGGGUGAGGACACUGCUGAAGGCCUACUCCCCUGUGCCCACUAUGACUUGGACUCCUGAGAUCACCCAGGACUGCUUGAUUAUUUUUUCCUGGGCUUCCCUGGGUUGGGGAGGGUGAAUUAGUAAUGGUAGGUUAGUUAGGCUAUGCAGAGUAGAAUCUGAAAGUGAUUCCUGCCCCUGGAGAUGCACAGGCUCACGGGCCAGUUCUCUGGAGUGUAGAUGUAACCCUGCACACACCAACACUCUUCUCUGAUUAGGCCUCACUAUGUGGAGAUGGUGGAGAAAUUGGUGUAGAUUAAUUAUAGUCUCCAAUUAAUUAAAUCGUCUUUGGGUUAAGUAAGAGAUGGAGCCGGGAACACUGGUGCAUGCCUGUGGUCUAAGCUAAGUGUGGCAGGUGGGGGCAGCAGGAUGACUUGAGUCCAAGACAUCAAGGUCAGCCUGGAUAACAAAGCACAGCCCUGCCUCAACUCUCAGUGGGGUCUGCCAUGUAGCUCAGGCUGGCCUGGAACUUGUGAUGUAGCCCCAGCUGGCCUCAUCUGAGUGCCUCAUAUCUUAACUCUCUGAGUAUUAGGACUAUGGGCACAGAGUUUGAAACCUCGAUUCUCAAAGGUGGUGGUGGUGAUGCGCCUGGAUGGCCUGAUUUGGUCAGAGAGCUGUCUGGAGUCUAGAUUCUGCCCCUAGCUGCACAGGAGGGGAUGAGCUACCAGCCUUAGGGGCUGCCACCUUGAUUGCAGCUAUGUGUGACCCUAGGCAAAGGGCAGUAUUCAGCCCUCCCAGAAUCCUCGUUCAUCAAAAGCGUGAGCUGAUAAAUGGGAGGUUUUGGCAGCCGAUCUUGGUCAUUUUUUUCCAAACCAGUAGCGUGUGCUGGACAGGACAGGCUGGUGGGCUUGAGGACAGUGAGGUGUGAACAGGGGACCGGUGUGGGCAGGGCACAAGUGUCCAGGGCUGCAGGAGAGCCUGCCCAGCCUCUACUACCCUCCUUUUCCACAGGGGCCUCUGCAAUGGUCAGGUAGGUCACUGAGUCUAUUAGAACCCUCCAGAACAAAAACAGAAGAUUGGGCUCCCCGGCCUUCUGGAUAUCUUCUGGCCUUCCAGAGCAAGAGGCUGUAGGCUGGGGCAAGUGGAGGAAGGCCUAAAGGCUUGUGGUAUCCCAAGUGGCCCUGGAGACAUCCUUAAGUCUAUCUCUGGUGUCUGGUCCUUAAAUCGGGUAAUCGUACCUGACACACACAGCCAGGGAGGGGACUCCAUGGCAGGCACUGUGGUGUCUACACUGGCAGGUUGAGGAGGUGCCUGGAGGCACGAGUGGGUGUGGAAGCUGCUCCUGUCACAGGGUGAGUAGCUGGUCCCCAGUUGAGUUGGAAGCAGAGAAAUGGGGAUGUAUAUAUAUUAAAUCCCACUGGUGCUGGGUGGUGGUGGCACACAUCUUUAACCCCAGCACU